rnacentral:rRNA from 1 species
CCAAGGAGUUUAACACUCAUGCAAGCCUGAUGGCUGGUGUAAGCUAGAAGGCGCAAUGAAAGUGAAUGCUUGAGGCUGUGCGUAUUUGUGUGGCUGCAAAGCAAGCCUGUCGUUUUGGCAGAGCUGGAGUAUGAUUGUUAAGACCCGAAAGAUGGUGAACUAUGCAUGAGCAGGCUGAAGCCAGGGGAAACUCUGGUGGAAGGCUGUUGCAAUUCUGACGUGCAAAUCGAUUGUCAAACUUGUGUAUAGGGGCGAAAGACUAAUCGAACCAUCUA